UGAGGAAUAUUGCGCAAUGGGGGCAACCCUGACGCAGCGACGCCGCGUGGGUGACGAAGGCCUUCGGGUCGUAAAACCCUGUCGGGAGGAAAGAAAUGCGUUCAAGCCAACACCUUGGACGUUUGACGGUACCUCCAAAGGAAGCACCGGCUAACUCUGUGCCAGCAGCCGCGGUAAUACAGAGGGUGCAAGCGUUGUUCGGAAUUACUGGGCGUAAAGGGCGUGCAGGCGGCUUGUCAAGUCAGAUGUGAAAGCCCACGGCUCAACUGUGGAAGCGCAUUUGAAACUGGCAGGCUUGAGUACCAGAGGGGAAAGUGGAAUUCCCGGUGUAGAGGUGAAAUUCGUAGAUAUCGGGAGGAAUACCGGUGGCGAAGGCGACUUUCUGGCUGGAUACUGACGCUGAGACGCGAAAGCGCGGGGAGCAAACAGG
rnacentral:rRNA from 1 species